rnacentral:tRNA from 1 species
GUCGGGAUAGCUCAGCUGGUAGACAGAGGACUGAA